rnacentral:rRNA from 1 species
UACGGAGGGGGCUAGCGUUGUUCGGAAUUACUGGGCGUAAAGCGCGCGUAAGCGGACCUGCAAGUCGGGGGUGAAAGCCCGAGGCCUCAACCUCGGAACUGCCUUCGAUACUGCGGGUCUCGAGUCCGGGAGAGGUGAGUGGAAUUCCUAGUGUAGAGGUGAAAUUCGUAGAUAAUUAGGAAGAACACCAGUGGCGAAGGCGGCUCAGCUGGCCCGGUACUGACGCUGAGGCGCGAAAGGCGUGGGGAGCAAACAGG